rnacentral:rRNA from 1 species
AUUGAACGCUGGCGGCAUGCCUUACACAUGCAAGUCGAACGGCAGCACGGGAGCAAUCCUGGUGGCGAGUGGCGAACGGGUGAGUAAUACAUCGGAACGUGCCCAGUAGUGGGGGAUAACCCGGCGAAAGCCGGACUAAUACCGCAUACGACCUACGGGUGAAAGCGGGGGAUCGCAAGACCUCGCGCUAUCGGAGCGGCCGAUGUCAGAUUAGCUAGUUGGUGGGGAAAANCCCACCAAGGCGACGAUCUGUAGCUGGUCUCGAGAGGACGACCAGCCACACUGGGACUGAGACACGGCCCAGACUCCUACGGGAGGCAGCAGUGGGAAUUUUGGACAAUGGCGCAAGCCUGAUCCAGCCAUUCCGCGUGCAGGAUGAAGGCCCUCGGGUUGUAAACUGCUUUUGUACGAACGAAAGGCGCCUUCUAAUACAGGCGCUGNUGACGGUACCGUAAGAAUAAGCACCGCUAACUACGUGCCAGCAGCCGCCG